GAGAGUAUAGCUCACUGAUAGAGUGCCAGCUUAGCAUGCAGGAGGUCCUGGGUUCAAUCCCAGUACUGUCA
rnacentral:tRNA from 1 species